GUGUGGUAUGAAAGGAGAGAAGGUUAGCGCUCCGCUUGACAAGGAUGGAAGAGGUCCUAGUGGCCUGUACUGCACACAUGGUUAAGGCAUUGCCAUUUACAUCUUGGCAUCUAAUCAGGUUUUGGA